UACGUAGGGUGCGAGCGUUGUCCGGAUUUAUUGGGCGUAAAGGGCUCGUAGGCGGCGUGUCGCGUCGGGAGUGAAAGACCGGGGCUUAACCCCGGUUCUGCUUCCGGUACGGGCAUGCUGGGAGUGUGCAGGGGAGACUGGAAUUCCUGGUGUAGCGGUGGAAUGCGCAGAUAUCAGGAGGAACACCGGUGGCGAAGGCGGGUCUCUGGGCCAUUACUGACGCUGGAGGAGCGAAAGCGUGGGGAGCGAACAGG
rnacentral:rRNA from 1 species